rnacentral:rRNA from 1 species
UACGUAGGGUGCAAGCGUUAAUCGGAAUUACUGGGCGUAAAGCGUGCGCAGGCGGUUUUGUAAGUUUGUCGUGAAAGCCCCGGGCUCAACCUGGGAAUGGCGAUGAAGACUGCAAGGCUUGAAUCUGGCAGAGGGGGGUAGAAUUCCACGUGGUAGCAGGUGAAAUGCGUAGAGAUGUGGAGGAACACCGGAUGGCGAAGGCAGCCCCCUGGGUCAAGAUUGACGCUCAUGCACGAAAGCGUGGGGAGCAAAC